UUAUCUCCCUGGCAGGGAAGAUACCUUGAUCAAGAAGGUGGUUCUCUCAGGGCGAGGCUCAGCCAUUGCACUCCAGUUGUCUGACCUUUGCGAAUUCCCCAAAUGUGGGAAUCUCAACUACAUAAUUUGGGGUAGUGGGGGACUGCAUUUGCACUCUCCCCCU